rnacentral:rRNA from 1 species
ACCGGGUGGAUGAGUGGCGAACGGGUGAGUAACACGUGAGUAACCUGCCCCUGACUUCGGGAUAAGCCCGGGAAACUGGGUCUAAUACCGGAUACGACUGCCGGACGCAUGUCUGGUGGUGGAAAGUUUUUUCGGUUGGGGAUGGGCUCGCGGCCUAUCAGUUUGUUGGUGAGGUAAUGGCUCACCAAGACGACGACGGGUAGCCGGCCUGAGAGGGCGACCGGCCACACUGGGACUGAGACACGGCCCAGACUCCUACGGGAGGCAGCAGUGGGGAAUAUUGCACAAUGGGGGAAACCCUGAUGCAGCGACGCAGCGUGCGGGAUGACGGCCUUCGGGUUGUAAACCGCUUUCAGCAGGGAAGAAGCGCAAGUGACGGUACCUGCAGAAGAAGUACCGGCUAACUACGUGCCAGCAGCCGCGGUAAUACGUAGGGUACGAGCGUUGUCCGGAAUUAUUGGGCGUAAAGAGCUCGUAGGUGGUUGGUCACGUCUGCUGUGGAAACGCAACGCUUAACGUUGCGCGUGCAGUGGGUACGGGCUGACUAGAGUGCAGUAGGGGAGUCUGGAAUUCCUGGUG